UACGGAGGGGGCUAGCGUUGUUCGGAAUUACUGGGCGUAAAGCGCGCGUAGGCGGACCUGCAAGUCGGGGGUGAAAGCCUGUGGCUCAACCACAGAAUUGCCUUCGAUACUGUUUGGCUUGAGACCGGAAGAGGUUAGUGGAACUGCGAGUGUAGAGGUGAAAUUCGUAGAUAUUCGCAAGAACACCAGUGGCGAAGGCGGCUGACUGGUCCGGUUCUGACG
rnacentral:rRNA from 1 species